rnacentral:hammerhead_ribozyme from 1 species
AUCCAGCUGAUGAGUCCCAAAUAGGACGAAACGCGGGUAAUUGAU